GAUGAACGCUGGCGGCGUGCUUAACACAUGCAAGUCGAACGGAAAGGCUCCUGCUUGCAUGGGUACUCGAGUGGCGAACGGGUGAGUAACAAGUGGGUGAUCUGCCCUUCACUUCGGGAUAAGCCUGGGAAACUGGGUCUAAUACCGGAUAGGACCACAGCUUGGAUGGUGUGGUGGAAAGUUUGUCGGUGUGGGUUGACCUCGCGGCCUAUCAGCUUGUUGGUGGGGUAAUGGCCUACCAAGGCGUCGACGGGUAGCCGGCCUGAGAGGGUGUACGGCCAAAUUGGGACUGAGAUACGGCCCAGACUCCUACGGGAGGAAGCAGUGGGGAAUAUUGAACAAUGGGCGCAAGCCUGAUGCAGCGACGCCGCGUGGGGGAUGACGGCCUUCGGGUUGUAAACUCCUUUCGCUAGGGACGAAGCGCAAGUGACGGUACCUGGAGAAGAAGCACCGGCUAACUACGUG
rnacentral:rRNA from 1 species